rnacentral:rRNA from 1 species
GACGAACGCUGGCGGCGUGCUUAACACAUGCAAGUCGAACGGAAAGGCCCUGCUUUUGUGGGGUGCUCGAGUGGCGAACGGGUGAGUAACACGUGAGUAACCUGCCCUUGACUUUGGGAUAACUUCAGGAAACUGGGGCUAAUACCGGGUAGGAGCUCCUGCUGCAUGGUGGGGGUUGGAAAGUUUCGGCGGUUGGGGAUGGACUCGCGGCUUAUCAGCUUGUUGGUGGGGUAGUGGCUUACCAAGGCUUUGACGGGUAGCCGGCCUGAGAGGGUGACCGGCCACAUUGGGACUGAGAUACGGCCCAGACUCCUACGGGAGGCAGCAGUGGGGAAUAUUGCACAAUGGGCGGAAGCCUGAUGCAGCAACGCCGCGUGCGGGAUGACGGCCUUCGGGUUGUAAACCGCUUUCGCCUGUGACGAAGCGUGAGUGACGGUAAUGGGUAAAGAGGCACCGGCUAACUACGUG